UGGGGAAUAUUGGACAAUGGGCGCAAGCCUGAUCCAGCCAUGCCGCGUGAGUGAUGAAGGCCCUAGGGUUGUAAAGCUCUUUCACCGGUGAAGAUAAUGACGGUAACCGGAGAAGAAGCCCCGGCUAACUUCGUGCCAGCAGCCGCGGUAAUACGAAGGGGGCUAGCGUUGUUCGGAUUUACUGGGCGUAAAGCGCACGUAGGCGGACUUUUAAGUCAGGGGUGAAAUCCCGGGGCUCAACCCCGGAACUGCCUUUGAUACUGGAAGUCUCGAGUAUGGUAGAGGUGAGUGGAAUUCCGAGUGUAGAGGUGAAAUUCGUAGAUAUUCGGAGGAACACCAGUGGCGAAGGCGGCUCACUGGACCAUUACUGACGCUGAGGUGCGAAAGCGUGGGGAGCAAACAGG
rnacentral:rRNA from 1 species